CUCGCCUUCUGGAUGGCAGCGGGGUGAACAGGCAGUGGCUCGGGUGGUUGAUGUCCUUGAUGAUCUUUAUGGCCUUCCUGUAGCAUCGGGUGGUGUAGGUGUCCCGGAGGGCAGGUAGUUUGCCCCCGGUGAUGCGUUGUGCAGACCUCACUACCCUCUGGAGAGCCUUACGGUUGAGGGCGGUGCAGUUGCCAUACCAGGCAGUGAUACAGCCCGCCAGGAUGCUCUCGAUUGUGCAUCUGUAGAAGUUUGUGAGUGCUUUUGGUGACAAGCCGAAUUUCUUCAGCCUCCUGAGGUUGAAGAGGCGCUGCUGCGCCUUCCUCACGAUGCUGUCUGUGUGAGUGGA
ensembl:lncRNA